AUAGGGUCACAAAGAUCUGGACAUGACUGAAGUGACUUCGCAUGCAUGCAUAAUAUGAAACAGGCAUUGUGUUACAGCUAAUCACAAGCAACUUAUGUCCCCAGCAUGAAGGGACACUUUUUAUAAUAUAAUACAAAGAGUAUGAUUACAGAUAUAUGAGCAGCACGUUUUGCUUUCUGAUCAUAAGCUCUAUUGACGAAACAGCUAAUAUUUGUUAAGUUCUUCCUAUAUGCCAAGAACUGUGUUAAAGUCUCUCUAUGAAUUAUUUCAUCUUAUAUAUCUAGAGUGUCCUAUAAAAACAAUAUGAGAGGGUUACUAUUUUUAAUUCCAAUUUGCAGAUAAGGAAACUAACCUCAGAGAGGUUUGGGACUUGUCUCAGGACAUCUUGUGGGGCUUGUUUUCUAAACAUUUUAUGUUUUAAUAGAAAGAAAUCACUUCUGGACAAAAUAUCCUCAGGAAUAGUAAGAAUCAGUCAAUAAUAGACCUCUUUCUACAUGAUCUCUCCUUGUUCUCUCAUUUUAAACUUUCUUCCAAUUGCCCCAAUUAUUAAGCAAGAAAAAAGUGGCCAGUUGCUUUAAAAGAGUGCCUAAACUUCUGUCCAGUUGCAGUCCCUAUUCUUUCAAAACUUUGAUGUUCAUUGUUUCUCAUCUACUUAUAAGUGAAUUAUGUUAAGAGCCUUGAAGACAAAACAGCAGAAAACAAACAAACAAACAAAAAUGGUCUUUGAUUUUCAAAAGGAUGUCCUUAAGGUCACCAAUGUUGCUUAGCUAAAAUAUCAGAAGUACAUUUUAUAUGUCUAUUCAUUUGUUUGAAUUGUUUGGAAAUGUCAUCCUGCCUACUUUUCGUAUACUUUAUGUAGGCACGGCCUAACCAACCAACAGUUGGUUUAGGAAACCUAACCUUUUGAACCUAAACUUUCUGAAACCUAACCUUUUUAUUUCCCUGAAUGCACUGUUUCCUGUGACUUUUACAUAAAUUGUUUUAGCAUGUCUUUUGAAUAUUGGGUAGUAAUUUGUUUUCAGGGAAAGCCCUAGUUUUGCAGGGCAUAUAUAUACAUUAUUACAUGGCCCUUUUUUGGUAUCCACAUGUGGAAUCCAAGUUCCAAGCAAAAAUUCUGCUGGAUGUCAACACAAUGACUGGGCAUAUCCCCAAGGAAGAUAAUACAAAAUUGCCUGGACUCUGAAUGAUUCUUCAUUAACCCACACAAAAUCCAUGCAGCCUGAACAGAGGGCUAACACUGAUUGGAAGAAACUUUUACUGCAAAUUGGAUUUUGUCCUCCCAAACACCUGGUAAAGAAAGAUCACCUUCGAUGGAUGGAGAGUAACACUUAUAUAUUGGAAUAUAUAAAGAGUGCACAACUCCAACUUAUAUAAAACUACAUUGUUUAUGCCUGCCUAACUACUUGAAAUUGUUGCUUAAUUUACCUUUCACCUGAAGUUUGUAAUAAUUGACCAAGAAAUGUUUGUAUUUUUCUAAAAAGGAACA